AGAUUCAGAUAUACAUGAAAAUCAUUUUGCAUAAUGAAGGAUUAAAAUCAAAUUGUUUUGGGACAGCAGAGGAUGAAGAAACUCAUUUUGACUGAAGUUAUUGGAUGAGACAUGGCUGUGGACAACUUCAGAGAAGAUAUAUUUAAGCAGAACCUUAAACUUAUGUCAGAAUUUUUAAUCACCAGAGAUCAGCAAAGCCAAAGGCAUAUAGACUAUUUCUCAGAUGCACUUGUCAAGAUGAGAGAAUGUGGGCAGAGGUGUAUAAAAUUGCUCUGAAGACAUUCAAUGACAGCCAGCCUCCUUAAAAGAUGUGUUUAAAAGUGGAAGACUUACACAGUUGCAUUCGAACAGGGAAUUACUCCUCCCAAGAAUAUUCUUCCAAGGUAA
rnacentral:lncRNA from 1 species